rnacentral:misc_RNA from 1 species
CGGGCGCCAUGGAGGGAGCUCCGGUGCGGCAGGGAAGGAGCUCAGGGAGCAGGCUCGGCUGGGCGCGAUGCAGGAGGGCAGACGGCCACCUGGGGAAGUGCCCAGGCGCGCACGACGUGGAGAGCAGGAGCCAGGGCGCCGUGGCCAUGGGAGAAGCUCCUGCGCGCAGAGAGGAGGACCGAGUAGAGGAGGGAGAUGGGCGCUGGAGAGAGCGUGAUGGAGAAAGCGCCAAGAAGCUACGCGCGUGUGGAAGGAGUGCCAGCAGAGGGGAAGAAGAUAAGGAAGAAGCAGCGCGCGGCGUGAAAAAUCUGAAGGAGGGGCGGCAGGAUUUUUUUGUUAGAGCUGAGCGGCGCAGAGAUAAGAUCAAACGGAGGAAAAAUCAACGCCGAGAGCAUUCCAAGACGGUAGAGGAAAAUCUGAGAAAAAGAUAUUUUUUCCCAGGCUUGGCGUGUAUAAGAUGAAAGGGGAAAAUACGUGACGGUGGUGGUAAAAGAUAGAAGAUAUUUUCUUUUUCUUUUCCACAAAAGAACAUAAAUCCG